rnacentral:ncRNA from 1 species
AUUUGUGGCGCUUUGUAAGACUGGAUUGCGGGCCACGGUAAAUAUUCCGCUAAAGAGGUCGAGGCCCAA